rnacentral:lncRNA from 1 species
GUCCACAUUCUCCUAAACGCUACAAAUACUGAAGAAACUAUGGCAUUCUUCAGCAAAGAACUAGGGCAAAGAUGAGCAAACGGAAUAGGAAAGAACUGACCACUGCAGUGGCGGAUAAGAAGGCAUCAAAGAGAUAGUAAGGGUGAGAAGCAACAGAAGCAUACUGCCUGACUCAUAACUAUUUCCAAGGCCAGCCUGGCUUACAAGUCUUCAUUCUAAUGUAGUUAUAUGACCUUUAUUAAUAUCAUUUGCAGUAUAUUAU